GACGAACGCUGGCGGCGUGCUUAACACAUGCAAGUCGUACGGAAAGGCCCUGCUUUUGUGGGGUGCUCGAGUGGCGAACGGGUGAGUAACACGUGAGUAACCUGCCCUUGACUUUGGGAUAACUUCAGGAAACUGGGGCUAAUACCGGAUAGGAGCUCCUGCUGCAUGGUGGGGGUUGGAAAGUUUCGGCGGUUGGGGAUGGACUCGCGGCUUAUCAGCUUGUUGGUGGGGUAGUGGCUUACCAAGGCUUUGACGGGUAGCCGGCCUGAGAGGGUGACCGGCCACAUUGGGACUGAGAUACUGCCCAGACUCCUACGGGAGGCAGCAGUGGGGAAUAUUGCACAAUGGGCGGAAGCCUGAUGCAGCAACGCCGCGUGCGGGAUGACGGCCUUCGGGUUGUAAACCGCUUUCGCCUGUGACGAAGCGUGAGUGACGGUAAUGGGUAAAGAAGCACCGGCUAACUACGUG
rnacentral:rRNA from 1 species